rnacentral:lncRNA from 1 species
CACCAUAAAUAGGACCUCGCUCAACCAGGAUAUGCUUUAGGCCCUUAAAUGUCCAGUACCUCUCAAUUCAUAUUAUUUUUGGUGAUUUUAAAAAGGGGGUUGAAAGGCACGUGCCUGCCCCAGGAUAACUCAUUUUCUAAAAGUGAAUGAGCAGUUUAGUCAUGACCUCACCAGGCCAAGGGGUUUGGGACAGCAUCCCUCACUACAGGCAGGAGGUGACUCUUUGAGCAGUCAACAGUGCAUGGUGGCCCCUGGAGGAGAAACUCAGUGUAUAAAAAUGUCAUGGUACAGAUAUCCUAUAGUAGCUUUUCAGUGUUGAACUUACACUUUUUUUAGAAGAACUGUAAUGAAGAUGUUACAUUGCUCCGAUGGCGUAAGUCUUGCUGGUCUAUGUUUAAUGUGGUGACACUUGCCAGAACUACUUGGUAAAACAUGUCAGAACGUGUGAGUCAACAUUCUACUGUAAAUUUGUCCACAGCGAUAUGUAUCAUGCUGUAUUUUUGUAAACAUUGUGAUGGUUUCCUUUCAAAUGUUUAAUCAUAUGAGAUUAAAAAUACAAAUGCUUCAUUUUUAACAGUCACAGAAUUACUGGGCUGGGCAGACCUCUCUCAAUAACCUAAAGAUACGCUGACAUAACUAGUAAGCCUAGCUUUAUUUUCAGCGUAAAAUGUGUAGCCAGCAUCCUGGGACCUCUCACAAUCCUCUACUCUCAUACUGUGCAAAAUAACCAAAUGUAUAAUUUCAUCCUGAAAGCCACUUUGGCACGAGAGAUGGCUUUGCAGGUUUGGAUCUUUCUUUACAGACAAAAAUUUUGCUCUCAGUUGCUUAUGCGCACUGGCCAGUGACAUGAAUCAUAGUCACAGACAGGCAUUAGCAGACACCAGCUCAUCUUUUUUUUGUUCACGCUUGGGUUUAAAAUAACAGAGUACGACAACUUUCCUCAGUUGUCUCUUUGGUUUUAAUUGCCAUCAUGGACACUUGACUCUUGACCCAUCCAUUUCAUUUAAACAAAAAUAAAACCCAAAUCUUUCACAACAGCUUAUUCCAAUUAACUUGUUCAUGAGGCAUUAUAAAUUCAUACACAUUGAAGUGUCUAAAUAUCUGCAAGAGGUUAGGCAUAGUAGUAUGGGACCUGAAAUAAUAGAUAGUACGUAAGCCCUUGCACAGCGAGAUAGCCAUAUUUAAGCAGUGUGCUUUGAAAGUCAUGCAUCCCUUCCCAGCUCUGGAUGUAGACAGCAGGUGACAGAAGGAAACCGCUAUCUAUCAUGUCACUCCAGAAAGUCCCAGGAGAAUAGAGAUUCUUGUCUUACCCUUCCAUACUCUUUAAUCUUAACUGUCAUUUAUGUAUCUGCCUUCUCUCAAACUUUGUGUAGCAGUACUGCACGCCCAUCUGUGCCAACAUGCCUUCGCUAUAUUUUCUAUGACAAAUAUUUGUGGAGAAACUGUGAUUAAAAAACCAUUAAUCCUGAUAUUUUUAUUGUUAUGGUGUAGUUAAUUCUAUGAAUACUUUCUAAUGAUGAUUGUACUGUGUAGAGUAAGUACAGGUUAGGGAUAGACCUUUACCAGAUACUGUACAAAAAAAAAAAAGUGCAUAGUGUAAUAUAGAUUAGUAAGGUUUUUGUGACAAUUUCUAUAGGAUGUGUGAAUCGUUUUCUAUGUGGCAACACACAUUUCUUUUAAAGAAUAUAAAAUCUUAGAGAUUUUUUAAACAGUCAAUAUUUUUUAAUUAUAAAGACAUUUGUUACCUAAAGUUUACUAUUUCAGGUGUUAAUUCUAAUUUGAAUAUUGGUUUUAUUACUACAUACCUCCAGUUCCAUUUGUUCUGUUGCAUAAAAAUGCACAAUAAAAGUCUCUGGUUAACCUGUCUCUUUCUCUGUAGGCAUCGUUGUGUCAGCAUGAUAGCUGUCAGAACUGGUUCUCACUAUAAAUAUGUAUUAAAAGUUUUAGAUAUAUAUGUAAAAA